GUGGCGAGGCGGCCUUCCUACGGGGAGGAGGGGUGUGUUACACAGCUGCGUUUCAAACAACCGGCCGCUAGGCUUGGGGAGGGGAAAAGGUGGGGGGGCUAAGAGAGGCAGAGAGAAAGGCAGCUUCGCCCGCCGUUACGUUGCCCUCCUGUGUUUGCAAUGGAUCUGUGUGACCAUCGGGGAGGGAGAGGCGAUCCAGCGAGCGGCCACGCCAGCAUACAUUAAAAGGAGCGCCUUCUCCAGCGACCAACCUGCCCCCCUCUCCAAGGUCUUGGAUACGGAGGAGGAACAACUGCGAGGGAACUAACGUAGGUAGACCGGGGGAGCGAGCGGGGAGGGAGAAGCGGGCGUAGCUCUUCUCCUACAGGGGAGGGGUCGGCGGCGGCAGGAGGAUCCUUGCAACACCCAGCGCGCUCUCCCUACCCAUAUCUUCGGCUAGCCCUAUCCUGCUUCUUCCCCCGGCAGCUCAGCGGUGUCGCGCGUCUCCCCUCCUCGAGUGGCGCGGGUAAGCUUUGGAACGUUGGGGGUGGGGAGCGGGGCGGGGGAGGGGCCCUUUUGGAACGCCGAAGCGCCUUUUGGAACGCCGGGGACGGAAUUGUGGCUACUUUCCGCCGCUUCCCUUUUUGCGCGCGCCGAGCGUUCGCUUAGAGACCCUCCUCGCGGGAAAAGGGAAAUAAAGGGGGUUGGGAACCCCACCCCCGAAACGCGGCGGCCGUGCCUACCCUCCCCACCCGGGUUUCCGAAAGCUGUAGCAGCUGACUUUCCAGCCCACCCACCUACCCCGCGUCUCCCCUCCAUAGCGGCCUGUUUUGGAGCCCGCGGUGCCUCUCGCCUCCCUCUCCCUUUGCGCCUCGGAGGGCCCUCUCCUCUAACGAGGCGCGUUCUCGGCUCUGCUUUCGGUUCCUCGCUCCUAGAAGGACCUGGCGGAUUGGAGGCGGGUGGGUUGGCUGGUGUCCCUGCGCUUCUUCCUUCUCCUCCAGGGGGUCAUGUCCCCCCACCUCCUUUUGCCGCCACCCCCUUAUUUCAACUGCGAGGGGCGUGUGGUUUGGAGGGCGCAGAUAAGAGCGUUUAGCUCGGUGUAAAGGGGCAAAAAGGGGUGUGUAUGGGUGUGUUUUUAAGCAAAAUGAGCAUUGCUUUGGGAGGGGGCAGAGAGAGAAGCAUGGCUGAUGUGGGAAGGGAAUCAAGAGUUGGGAGUUGAUUUAUUGUUGUUUUGACACCUACCUUUCAAAGUUUACAUCUUUGGCAUUCCUUGUUUGCAUAAUGAGGCGCUGGAAGGCUGCUUUAGAGAGGUUUGGGACCUCCUCUCUUUCCCCAAAGCUCAUUAUUUAGGAGGAACUGGUCCUGGAAUUGUAUUUCUACUAUUCCUCUCCUCUUCUCACAGUCCCUCUCCCAAAUAAUCUACUUUCCCAUCUCCAUUCCACAAUAGUUGCACAUUUGUUUCACUUUCUCUGUCAAAUUUCUUCCAAGUUCAGCAUCAUAGUAGUAAUAAUCCGCAGUAUUCUCAUGAAUGAAUAUAUAUAUACUGCUUAAUUGCCAAACACACCUUUUAAGCAACUUACAAGUAUAAAACCAAUUACAAGAUAAUAUAAUGGCGUGUAAAUAAGAAUGCACAAUAAAACAAUUUGAUUGAAACGUUGAAAUGAGCAUCCAUGUAUAAAAAAAGCAAAGCAAACGCCUUUGAAGAGUGCAGCAGUUUAAAAAAAGCAAUUAAAAUAAUUAAAAAUUAAAUAUAGUAAUAGUAAUAAGUGUUUGCAUUGAACUGGAGUGUUUUGAUGCUGCUGAUAAUGUACUCUUGUAAUCCAUGUGACACCCCUGUCAGGUAUGCCUAUGGUAUUAUCUCCACUUUGCAGAGGGGAUAACUGAGGCUGAGAGAGAAUGGCUUGUUUAAGGCUACAUAGUUCUUGUGGGAGGUGAGAUGAACUGAUUUUACUCUGGUUGUAGCCAGUGCUUUGUUAAAAAAAAAAGAGAGGUUCUGUAUCCUGAAUGGUGGGCUAUCAGUUGUAAUAAACAGGACCUAGUUAUGGCUGGUUUAUUAGUUUAUUAGUUUCUUCAAUUUUGAUAUACACCAAUGCAGUUCCAUUUCUGAAAUCUCUCUCUACUUUGUCAUAUAAAUGCUAUUGCUUGAGUGGCAUGGCAAAUUGGCUACCUUUGUGCAGGUAAAAGCAUUCACUAGUGUCUCUCAAAUGCUCCAAUUUGACAAAAAAGGUAGCAGAAAGCUUGCUGAGUGGGAUCCACUGGUGGCCUACUAGGUUCCAUUGGGUUCUUGGGCUGAAGUUGGAAGUGACUGAACUGUCAGAUUGUUUCUGAGUUUCCGAGCCGCACUGUUAUGAUUGAAAAGAUUUGGUUCUCAUUGUCUGACUCACUCUUGGCCAGUUGGAGUAUUGCUCCCCACCUGAGAAUUGAUGCAGAAGCAUCGCUGCUCACACUGUCUGCCAGGUAAAAUGGCACAGACAGUUCCCAGCACACGGAAAUAAAUGCAGAAAGUGCUUUUCUAGGGGAAGGAUGACACCUUGUUUCUGAGAAGAAUCUUCCUUCUUCUAUCAAAGUCAUUUUGAUGGUUUGGAUGUUGCCUGGGAGUUUUCAUUGUUAAUUGUUGUGACAGGAUUUUAUUUCAUUGAUAGCUGUUGAUGACAUGCCCAUCCAAGGAUGGAAAUGCUUGAAAUCUGCUUGGAAUUUUGAAACUUGCAAAUAAGGAAGGUGGCAGAGACCAUGGAUUGGUUUAUUGGCUGGUGAUGUCACCGAUGUCCUUUUCCUUGUUGCUGUUCUUUGUAGAAUUGGGCAGACCACAGGUUUUCCAAGAUCAGUUUAUUAACUUUGACCCUCUCGUGUUUCUCACAGCACCUCUCUCACUUGGGCAGAUAAAAGAUUUUGGAAGGAGCAAUUUGAUAGGCUUAGUUGCAGGCAUCUGAAAGAUAUUACUGGUACCUUGAUUCUACCACACAGAAGUGAUUUUAUGUUCCAUUCUUUUGUGCAACACCUUAGCAGAAUAUAUUUAAUUAGAUGCAGAUGCAAUUCCAAAACGUGGAAUAAAGUUUAAAUAUGAAGGUGGGAAAUGAAUACAAAACAAAAUACAAUUUCCCUCCUGGAAUAGAAUUAUUCAGGCUCUGCAAUCCUGUACACACUUGAAUUCAACAGGGCUUAGCUUCUAAGCAGACAUGUAUAGGAUUGCACCGUAAAUCUGCUAUGUAUUUGGACAGCUGCCUGUUAGCUAUGCAUUCGGACAUCUCUUAAAAUAUAAUCAAAAUUUGUGUGAUGAUUCCUGAGAUCCAUGAGCAGGUUUUUGCCUGUGUUUGGAUACAACUGAACAUCACUUUGAAUCAAGAUGGUGGACUGAACCUUUCGAAAUUGCACUGAUUGUAACUACUCCAAGCAAUACCAGGGAUGAGGCUACUAGUAGACUACUGUAUAUAUUUCGUCCUGUGUUCUGUACAUCAGCUGCUCCUGUUUACUAGUGACCCAAUUAAAGAAACCUUAGUUGGCUGAUUGUAUAAAUUUUGGUUGGUUGAUUAACUAAAUUUGCAUAAAUUCACCCAUGGAUAAAACAAUAUCUGAAUAGUUCUUUAAACUUGUAAAACAUCUUGACCUAUUUUUUAUUACUCAUUUUGCAUAGGUCUCUGAAAGGUGACCUUCUUCCCCUACAGACCCACUUGAGUGUUGCCAUCAACAAAGCGGGACCCUCUUGGUCCUUCUGUGCAGUGUUCAAAAUUCCUCUGGCGUGUUUUGCAACUGGUGCAUGCCCAGUUGCGACCACCUGCAUUCUGCCCUACUGGUGCCAACGAGCAUCUUUUAAAAGUGGGGUUUGAUCACAGGGCAGCAUUUCAGAUUUUGGAAGGUGGUGGGGGCAAAUAGAAGAGAUAAUGAUCAAGGGUUUAAAGCAUAUUUUUCCAGUCUGGCGAUCUUCAGAUGUUGCUAGGCUACAACUCCCAUCAUCCCUGACUAUUGGCCACGUGAGCUAGAGCUGAUAGAAGUUGUAGUUGAAAACAUCUGGAAGGCACAAAGGUGAUGUAAAGGCCAGGUUUUUUUGAUACCCUGGGAGUUAAAUUGCCAAAUUAAAUUUCCCAGAAACAGCAUGCUUUAAGAGCAUUUGCUGUGGUUACUUUUUAAAAGACCCAUAAUUAUUGUGAUAUGAUUGGCACAGGUUAGAAUACCACCCCCUCCCAAGUAAUGGGACUGUGCCUUCCAGCAUGCAAUCCCAUUUAAUAGUUUAUUGUUGGUUUGCUAUGAUCCUGUGCGUGCUUUCCUUGGAACAGGCCCCACUGAAUGCUGGGAGACUUACUUUAUGCCUGGAACUAGGUUCCAGCUCUGAAGCAUCUUUGAGCAGGCUUGAGAUCUAGGUUGCUCCAGAGGUGUGUUGUGGAAGCCAGUGAGUGGGACAGAUGCAUGGACUUAGCCUAUGAAUUUGAUCCCUGUAUCCUCAAUGUCUCUUAGUGUAUCAGAAUUAAUUUGGGAACUGCUUGCUGACAGCCUGGAUCACAGAUGUCUGUUUUCUAAAAACGAUGUGGUUUAUUUCCCUUUGUUAAUAAAGAAUUUUACAUUCCUGUGGGCUGACAAUAACUCGGCUUUGGAUGAAAGUCUGCAAAUGUUUCCAACUCGGAACAUACCUUCUCUUCGCCUCUUAAUGUAAAGAGUACAUUUUCCAGAUGCCAUCUAAUACUGCAGUAAUAUAUAGAUUUGCAGCCCUCCAGAUGUGCUGGUGAAAACUGGCCUGGGAGAGGUGUCUGUGUGUGGGCAGAAACUGCUUCCACUUCACUUCCUGAAUCUUCCUCACCUCCUUGUAUUUUGUUUUCCUCUUGGUCUCUUCAAUCUUGGGUGCUACCAAGUGUUUGGUCACUAUGCCGUCGAAGAGAAGCGGGAAUCAGGCUUUGCAAGAACUGAGCUGCUAGGUCUAACCUCAGAGCCCCUUGCGAAAGCUCAGCAAAUCAGAGAGAGGAGAUUGGCUUAAGUUCAAGUUCAGACCUUGAAUGGAGCAGAAGAAGACUUAAAAUGAGUGGUGAAAGAGUGGGCCAACCAGUUCCAUCUGUCUGAUGGAGAUCUGAAGUGGAGGCUGCAAUCCUCUGUACACCUUCCUGAGAGUAAGCCCUGUGUAAGACAGUGGGGGUACUUCUGAGUAAACAUGUAUAACAUGUGCCAUGUGUUUCUUAGGUGGCAACAUCUCCAUAUUUAAAUCACACUGGACACCAAGGAGAACUGCGGUAAUAAUAAUAAUAAUAAUAAUAAUUUUUAUUUAUACCCAGCCAAGGCCAGGCUCAGAGCGGCUUACAAGCAAUAAUAAAAACAAGUUGAAUGAAUACAAUUUAAAAACAAGAUUAAAAUACAACCAUUAAAAUAUUGAAACAUUAAAAUAUUAAAAUGCAGCCUCAUCACAGGAGGAGAAAGGAAAAAGGAAAAAGGAAAAAGAAAGAGGGGGAGGGAAUCAAAUUGGCUCCAAGCCAAAGGCCAGGCGGAACAACUCUGUCUUACAGGCCCUGCAGAAAGAAAUCAGAUCCUGCAGGGCCCUGGUCUCAUGAGGCAGAACGUUCCACCAGGCCGGAGCCAGUGUUGAAAAGGCCCUGGCUCUGGUUGAAGCUAAUCUAACUUCCUUAGGGCCCAGGACCACUAGGUUGUUGCUAUUUAUGGACCUUGAGGCUCUCCGUGGGGCAUACCGGGAGAGGCGGUCCCGUAGGUACAAGGGUCCUAGGCCGUGAAGGGCUUUAAAGGGUAAGGGAUGAAAGCCAUGGCUGAAUCAUCUUUGUAAGCAGGAGAAUCAAAAUUGCCACUGGGUGCACCAGUGUGGUAACCCAUGUGCAAAAUGUCCCGGCUGCAUGCUACCCAGGGAAGGAACGAGAGAAACACCAUUGUGCAUGCUGGCUGGACUGAUGGGAGCUGGAGUCCAAUGGCACCACCAGCCAGGGCUCAGAGGGGCUCAGCACAUCUGAUUACAUAAGUAAAACUUGCAUGUGAUAAAGUGCUUGGAGGAUUGUUGGGGCAGAGGACUGAGGAAGCCCAGCAUUGCGUUAUUGGUUGGUAUUUUCCAAAUCAACCCUGUGGUGUUUUUUUAAAUGGGAAAACUAUCAGAAUCCAGUGGUGGAGUAAUGGGAUGGAUGGCGGCUAAUGGAUUGAAGUUGAAUCCCGACAAGACAGAAGUACUGUUUUUAGGGACAGGGGGCCAGCAGGUGUGGGGGGACACCCUGGUCCUGAAUGGCAUAACUGUGCCCCUGAAGGACCAGGUCUGGGAGUCAUUCUGGACUCAUAACUGUCCAUGGAGGCGCAGGUCAAUUCUGUGUCCAGGGCAGCUGUUUAUCAGCUCCAUCUGGUACACAGGCUGAGACCCUACCUGCCCACAGACUGUCUCACCAGAGUGGUGCAUGCACUGGUUAUCUCCCACUUGGACUACUGCAAUGCGCUCUAUGUGGGGCUACCUUAGAAGGUGACUCGGAAACUGCAAUUAAUCCAGAAUGCGGCAGCUAGACUGGGAGCGGCCGCCAAGACCACAUAACACCGGUCCUGAAAGACCUACAUUGGCUCCCAGUACAUUUCCGAGCACAAUUCAAAGUGUUGGUGCUGACCUUUAAAGUGGCCUCGGCCCUGUAUACCUGAAGGAGCGUCUCCACCCCCAUCAUUCAGCACGGACACUGAGAUCCAGCACCAAGGGCCUUCUGGCGGGUCCCAUGCUGUGAGAAGUGAAGCUACAGGGAACCAGGCAGAGGGCCUUCUCAGCAGUGGCAACCAGCCUGUGGAAUGCCCUCCCAUCAGAUGUUAAGGAAUUACAUAACAUUUAGGAAACAUCUGAAGGCAGCCCUGUAUAGGGAAGCUUUUUAAGGUUUAAUGUUUUGUUACGUUUUUAUAUAUGCUGGAAACUGCCCAGAGUGGCUGGGGCAACCCAGUCAGAUGGGUGGGGUACAAAUAUACUACUACUACUACUACUGUUGUUGUUGUUGUUGUUGUUGUUAAAUUAUUUGCUAAGAUAUAGAUACAGCAGGCAGGAUUCAGUAAAAGAAAACCAAUUUAGGGAGCAGUCCAAAUAGCUCUUGAAAUUGGUGCAUUUAUGUCCUCUGAAGCUCAUGAAGUUGAGCAAAUACAGACACAGCCAUUUCUCUGAGGCCACAUCAGUGCAUUUCUGGGACGUCUGCUCUUGGGUAUUUGCAGUCUUUUCCGCUGCACGGCUUUGUCGCCUGAUGCUUAUUGUAAUGGCUCAAGAACUAAUGUCCUAAAUCCAAAAUAAAUUAAAAGGUGUUCCUUCAUUUACCGC